AGAGUUUGAUCAUGGCUCAGAACGAACGCUGGCGGCGUGCUUAACACAUGCAAGUCAAGGAGAAAGUCUCUUCGGGGGCGAGUAAACUGGCGCACGGGUGAGUAACGCGUGAGGAACCUGCCCAUAUGUCUGGGAUAACCUGCUGAAAAGCGGGCUAAUACUGGAUAUAUUGUUUACCGCAUGGUGGACAAGGAAAGUUGGUGUAAGCUAACGCAUAUGGAUGGUCUCGCGUCUGAUUAGCUAGUUGGUGGGGUAAAGGCUCACCAAGGCGACGAUCAGUAGCCGGUCUGAGAGGGUGGCCGGCCACACUGGGACUGAGACACGGCCCAGACUCCUACGGGAGGCAGCAGUGGGGAAUUUUGCACAAUGGGGGCAACCCUGAUGCAGCGACGCCGCGUGAACGAGGAAGGCCUUCGGGUCGUAAAGUUCUUUCGACUGGGAAGAAAUGUUAUACUACUAACUGCGUAUAAUUUGACGGUACCUGUAUAAGCAGCCCCGGCUAACUACGUGCCAGCAGCCGCGGUAAUACGUAUGGGACGAGCGUUGUCCGGAAUUACUGGGCGUAAAGGGCGCGUAGGCUGUGCUGCAAGUCAGCUGUGAAAUAUCUGGGCUUAACCUGGAUAUGCGGAUGAGACUGCAGUGCUGGAGUGCUGUAGAGGCAAGUGGAAUUCCCAGUGUAGCGGUGAAAUGCGUAGAUAUUGGGAAGAACACCGGUGGCGAAGGCGACUUGCUGGGCAGCAACUGACGCUGAGGCGCGAAAGCCAGGGGAGCGAACGGGAUUAGAUACCCCGGUAGUCCUGGCCGUAAACGAUGAAUGCUAGGUGUGGGUGUAGAGAUACAUUCGUGCCGGAGUUAACGCGAUAAGCAUUCCGCCUGGGGAGUACGGUCGCAAGAUUGAAACUCAAAGGAAUUGACGGGGGCCCGCACAAGCGGUGGAGCACGUGGUUUAAUUCGACGCAACGCGAAGAACCUUACCAAGACUUGACAUAUGCAUGAAAGUCUAAGAAAUUAGAUCCUCCUUCGGGACAUGUAUACAGGUGAUGCACGGUUGUCGUCAGCUCGUGUCGUGAGAUGUAGGGUUAAGUCCCGAAACGAGCGCAACCCCUAUCCUAUGUUACAAGUGUCUUAGGAAACUGCCUCGGUAAAACGAGGAGGAAGGUGGGGAUGACGUCUGGUCCGCAUAGCCCUUAUGUCCUGGGCUACACACGCGCUACAAUGGCCGAUACAGUAGGGUGCCAAAUCGUAAGAUGGAGCAAAUCCUCAAAGUCGGUCUCAGUUCGAAUUGAGGUCUGAAACUCGACCUCAUGAAGUUGGAUUCGCUAGUAAUCGUAGAUCAGCCAUGCUACGGUGAAUACGUUCUCGGGUCUUGCACACACCCCCGUC
rnacentral:rRNA from 1 species